AGCGAACGCUGGCGGCAGGCCUAACACAUGCAAGUCGAACGAACCUUUCGGGGUUAGUGGCGGACGGGUGAGUAACACGUGGGAACGUGCCUUUAGGUUCGGAAUAACUCAGGGAAACUUGUGCUAAUACCGAAUGUGCCCUUCGGGGAAAGAUUUAUCGCCUUUAGAGCGGCCCGCGUCUGCUUAGCUAGUUGGUUGAGGUAAUGGCUCACCAAGGCGUCGAUCAGUAGCUGGUCUGAGAGGAUGAUCAGCCACAUUGGGACUGAGACACGGCCCAAACUCCUACGGGAGGCAGCAGUGGGGAAUCUUGCGCAAUGGGCGAAAGCCUGACGCAGCCAUGCCGCGUGAAUGAUGAAGGUCUUAGGAUUGUAAAAUUCUUUCACCGGGGACGAUAAUGACGGUACCCGGAGAAGAAGCCCCGGCUAACUUCGUG
rnacentral:rRNA from 1 species